rnacentral:lncRNA from 1 species
CCCCUCCCCAAAAACCCAAAAUCGCGCGCCCCUCCCUGCUCUUUCAAUCUUUUGCAUCAGUCUGCGCCGCCCCCUCUCCUUCGCAGCCACCGCCGCCCGCAUAGCCGCCUCCGCUCCGAGCAAAGCAGGGGAGGGGCGUCGUCGAUCUGCUGCAUCCCGAAACAUCAACAGGGCAUCAGGUGGGCCAACCUCACCGCGGACGACAACCUCAUUGCCCCCCUCACCAAUCUCUUGGCAAUAGGUGAGCCAUUCUAG